rnacentral:misc_RNA from 1 species
UAGAGUUGUAAAACUCCCAAACCCAUGUGAACAUACCUCUGUUGCCUCGGUGGCCUACCCGGUAGUUACCCUGUAGUUACCCUGUAGUCCGCCGACGGACCCAAAAACUCUUUUAUUAUUAUAAUGAUAAAAUAAAGA